rnacentral:tRNA from 1 species
GCCAGCAGUAGCUCAGCGUGGUAAGAGCGUCCGGCUGUGAACCGGAAGGUCGUAGGUUCAACUCCUACCUCUGGUACCA